rnacentral:rRNA from 1 species
UAUCGGGAUAGGACUAAGACAUGCUAGUCGAGCGCCUUCAAGCCAUGACGAAGGCGCGGCACACAGCUCAGUAACACGUGGCUAACCUGCCCUCGGGACGAGAACACCCCCGGGAAACUGGGGCUAAUUCUCGAUAGGUGAAGAACUCUGGAAUGAGUCUUCACCCAAAAGACGCUUAGAUCAUGCUUCUAGACGUCGCCCAAGGAUGGGGCCGCGACCGAUCAGGUUGUUGGUGAGGCAACGGCUCACCAAGCCUUUAACCGGUGCGGGCCGUGGGAGCGGGAGCCCGGAGAUGGGCACUGAGACAAGGGCCCAGGCCCUACGGGGCGCAGCAGCCGCGAAAACUUUGCAAUAAGCGAAAGCUUGACAGGGCUAUCCCGAGUGCCAUCCGCUGAGGAAGGCUUUUACCCAGUCUAGUAAGCUGGGGGAAUAAGGAGAGGGCAAGUCUG